rnacentral:pre_miRNA from 1 species
AAUGGUUGACGCCGUUGAUUUUUUAUCACAUGUUUGACCGUCCAUCUUAUUCAAAAAAUUUAAGAAAUUAUUAAUUCUUUUCCUAUCAUUUGAUUCAUUGUUAAAUAUAUUUUUAUGUAGGCAUAUAAUUUUACAUAUCUCACAAAAGUUUUUGAAUAAGACGAACGGUCAAACAUGUGCUAAAAAGUCAACGGUGUUAAA